rnacentral:rRNA from 1 species
UACGAAGGGGGCUAGCGUUGUUCGGAAUCACUGGGCGUAAAGGGCGCGUAGGCGGCUUUGUAAGUCGGGGGUGAAAGCCUGGGGCUCAACCACAGAAUUGCCUUCGAUACUGCAUGGCUUGAGUCCGGAAGAGGUAAGUGGAACUGCGAGUGUAGAGGUGAAAUUCGUAGAUAUUCGCAAGAACACCAGUGGCGAAGGCGGCUUACUGGGCCGGUUCUGACGCUGAGGCGCGAAAGCGUGGGGAGCAAACAGG